CUCCUUAAAGUGGCGGUGACAUG
rnacentral:miRNA from 15 species